AUGGCCAACACCAGUAAGUUCUUGAUUCUAUCCUUCUCCUUUCUUUCCUUUGCUUUCUCAGUUUCCUCUCUGUUCUCUCCUGUGCCUUCCUUGGCCUAUGCCUUUCCCAAGCUUCUCUCCCUCUUCUUUUUUUUUUUGUUUUCCUUCCAAGCUUCCAUCAUUACAAGCUGGCUCAGCUCUCUUUAUCUUCCAGGCACCUCCUCUGCCCAUGAAAGUCCCCAUUUUAAAAUUUUACUCUUCCCUCUAGUUCCUCCAACCAGUCUCAACCAAUUAAGGCUCGGGUGCCCCUGGAAAAUACAAAAACCAAUAGCGUCUACCAAAUAUUCUAUUUCACUCUCAUCUCCAGCCCCGGAGGCUUCCAGCCGCUGACUGCAGGGUAUGGGGUUUCCUAGAUCUCUGUAGAUCGGGACAUUCUUGCUUCCAACGCGUUCCUCCCCACCUCCCAGGCGACGCACCGUGUCACAGCACGGCUUUGCAGCGUCUCUCCUGCGGCUCUUUCAUUCUCUGAGCGCCUUGCAGCCGCGGUGGGGGGGUUGUUGGGGUCGGGGUGUUUCUCCUCCCAGCACUCAUCUGUUCCGGCCCGGUGCAAACUGCAACCCAUCACAACACCUACGUGCACUUUUCAUACACUUCACGCUUUUAAAUACAUGAUGCAACGCACAACCGCUGCUGCAGCUACAGCAGCAAAAAGUAAAGCUGAACACGAGAUGCAGAUUCCCCACGUAUGCACACCGCAGACGGACAGAAAUGCAUAAGAAGCUCGGCGCAGCCNNNNNNNCCCUCAGCCUUGCUCUCCGCAGGCGGUGCUUCUGUCACGCCUCGCUGGAAGCAAUUUAAAGGAAGCCUCUGCGUAUUCCAGGGAACUCGCAGCCAGACCCGGCACAGCCGGGAGCCGCCCGAGGAUCACUGGGUUGUGCGUGCACCGCCAAUUUGUGCUACAAAGCGCAGAGCCGGGGGCUGAAAGCCAGCUGCAACUCAGACCAGCAGCAUUGCUCGGACUACAUUUCUUCCACAGCGAAACCAGUGUGUCAGUGUGUUCCCUCCUCUGCCCUUCUUUUUUUCUCUUGUCUUCUGAAAUCCAGGAAGAAAGCUCUCCAACCCCAGUGUGGUGUUAGAAAGCAGCAUUCCUUUAUUCCUCACGAUGCACGCUGGGUUGUUGGAAAUAUCCAAAUAAUUUAUCAGGGUGGUACCUGUGAGAAAGCAGAUUUUAUUUGCAUUUGCAAUGGUGGGCCUCCUGCAAGCAGGAGAGCACACAGAAAACAGCGUUACAUUCUUUAUGCCCUAUCACUCAACGCUUCUCUCUUUCUGCCCUGGUUCCUCAUUGGCUGAGUACUGCAGGUUCACAAUCUUCCCGACGCUCAACUGAACACACGGAUACUGGCUAAACAUCACUUGUUGCUAGCUAAGCAUACAUCACUAAUUACUUCUCACACCUGCUCAUUCAACGCUCGCUCCUUGUUUCUGGACAUCUGCUCGUCCUUGCAUAGAGAUAAGCUCAGAAGGAGGAUGGGGGGAGUGUCUUCAUCCCUGCCUGUUGCAUCCCAACCUACCCACAGAGCGAGGCAAGCCAGCCUUGUGCAGAGGCCCUGCCUGCUUUGAUGUUUGUUAAGUCUGCUUUUCUUUUGCUGAGGGUCUCUUAUCCAAACAGAACAGCCCUACAGUAUGCUUUCUAGUCCAUAAUACUAUACCUAUACUAUUUGGAACAUUUGAAAGCUACUGCAGUUUUGCAAGCAAGAAUUAAUCACACAAUUCAACAAAUAUAUUUCUAAAAUAUGUUACUAACAUAGAUGGUAUUUCUGCAUUUACACGUCAGCUAUUUCUAAGGACAAGUUACAAAAUACAAAUACACUGUGCUCUACUUCUUCAGAUCAAUUCCUCUUUUUCAAUACCUAAUGCAGAAACAACAUUCCAUUCCUACAAUGUGACCUGACAAGCAAGCACGCCCUCUCAGAGUUCAGCUCCUAAAUCUGAACAGUUAAGACAUGCAUAUGCACACACUGGCACACAUUCAUUCUUUUCAUGGACUCCCAGAUAUGUGCUGAUGUCCCUUUGGGCAUUCUCAGUGGUAUCUAGGGUGGGCGAGUGCCCAACUACUUCUUCCCCUUUUUUCUCCAUCAGCUGCAUCACUGAAGCCUUGUCACACUUCCAUCCACUUUUCCCCAGUUUGGAAGAUUUCCACUGCUUAGCGACCCAUUCCACUGCCCAUAGUGACCCACUUCUUAACAGCAGUGUGUGUGGAACCUGAGGAAAAUGCCCUUGAUCAUUUUGAGGCAAAGGACAGAAGCAUUUCAUUCUGACUCCAGUGCUUCUAGCGAGGCAAAACAAUUGAGGAAAAGUGUUCUAUUAUGUCCCCAGUGCAAAACUACAGAGGAAUAAUAGGACUGUUCACCCACUAUAGCUGAAAUGGAAAGUUUUAGAAGCAUCACUUAAUGGACUUCUUUUGCUAAACUAAUAUAUUGGUUCUUAAACUAAUCUACUAAUCCCUAUUCUGAAGCAAACCAACCU
rnacentral:lncRNA from 1 species